AUUGAACGCUGGCGGCAGGCCUAACACAUGCAAGUCGAGCGGAUGAAGGGAGCUUGCUCCUGGAUUCCGCGGCGGACGGGUGAGUAAUGCCUAUGAAUCUGCCUGGUAGUGGUGUAUAACGUCCUGAAACGGGCGCUAAUACCGCAUACGUCCUGAGGGAGCAAGUGGGGGAGCUUCGGACCUCAUGCUAUCAGAUGAGCCUAGGUCGGAUUAGCUAGCUGGUGGGUUAAGGACCUGCUAAGGCGAGGAUCGGUAAAUGGUCUGAGUGGAUGGUAGGUCACACGGGAAGUGAGCCAGCGACCAGACGCCUACGGGAGGCAGCAGUGGCGAAUAUUGGACAAUGGGCGAAAGCCUGAUCCAGCCAUGCCGCGUGUGUGAAGAAGGUCUUCGGAUUGUAAAGCACUUUAAGUUGGGAGGAAGCGCAGUAAGUUAAUACCUUGCUGUUUUGACGUUAACAACAGAAUAAGCACCGGCUAACUUCGUG
rnacentral:rRNA from 1 species